UAAGGAAUUUAAACGCUGCUUUGACCCUGUGGAAACUAAGGGAGAAGGUCCAAGAAGGCUUAAGAAUCUAUACUUCUUAUACUUAAUUGAGCUUCGCGCUUUAUCAAAGGUGGCCCUGUAUUUUGAACGCUCAAUUGUAGAUCUUUACACUGGAAAUGUAGAAGAAGAUGCUGACACAAAAAUGCUUCUACUGAAUAUCUUCCAAGAUACAAAGUAAGAAUUGGGUAUCCGUGAUCUGAAAUUCUGCACUCCGAAUAGGAAUGAGGUAAUGCUUGAAAUAAAACCGAAACUGACUCUGGAAAGUUAGGAAGAGGGAAAAUUAGAUCUGAGAAGGAUCAUGGUCAGUAGACCAGGAGAACAGCCUAGUCACACUUCAGAGUCGGCUCUAUUUUCAAACAGAACUUUGAGUUUUAUGUAGUAUCAAAGUUUAAUGCUAUUUUAUUUUAUUUUGAAGAUUUAUUUAUCUUAGAACAAGUGAGGGGAAGGGAUGUCAGCAGAUGAGAGGGAAAGAGAAAGAAAGAGAAUCUUAAGCAGACUCUAGGCAGAUUGCAGAGCCUGACUUGGGACUCAAUCCCACAACCCUUAGAUCAUGACCUGAGCCAAAACCAAGAACAGGAUUCUUAACUGACUGUGCCAUCCAGGUGCCCCAAAGCUUAAUGUGAUUUUAAUGGGGUUUUUUAAAACCAAUUUUUAAAAAUUUAACUUUUUCUUUCAUGUUCCAAGAUUCAUUGUUUAUGCACCACACCCAGUGCUCCAUGCAAUACAUGCCCUCCAUAAUACCCACCAUCAGGAUCACCCAACCACCACCACCCUCCUCUCCAAAACCCUCAGUUGCUGUUUAAAUUCAGAUGGUGCUAUCCACAUGAAAGUAGAUACCUAAGAGAACAUUAGCUUUACCUUAUAGAAUAUAUCUCUUCUUGAAAAAUGCUCUCUAUAGAAUUUCAGUUCACUGGUUGUUAAAAUGAGCAUGAACCAAAGUGUCUGAGAGGUUUGAAAUGGCAGGGGGGUGGGAGGUUGGGGUACCAAGGGCUGGGUAUUAUAGAGGGCACGGAUUGCAUGGAGCACUGGGUGUGGUGGAAAAAAUAAUGAAUACUGUUUUUCUGAAAAUAAAUCAAUUAAAAUAAAUAAAUAAAUAGAUAAAUAGAUAAAUAAAUAAAAGAAGUGUUUAGAGAUGCCUGGGUGGCUCAGUUGGUUAGGCAUGGUCCCAAUGCUGGGUCCUUGGGUCCUGGGGAUUGAGUCUGGCGUCGGGCUCCCUUCUUGGCAGGAGAGUCUGCUUCUCCCUCUCCCUCUGCCCCUCCCCCAUUCUGGUGUACUUGCUCUCUUUCUCUCUCAAAUAAAUAAAACCUUUUUUUAAAAGUUUUCAAAUUAUGCAUUAAAACUUAAAACAUCUUUUUAACAGAGUGUUGCACAUUUUUCACAUAAAUUGCUCUUAAGUUCAAUUUUUGAUGAUUUUUAUCAUGUAAUUUCUUUAAAACAUUACAGUCUUAUAAAUUACAAAGCCAUCUUAUGUUGCUUUACUCUUUUUUUGAGUCGUUUACAUGUGAACUGUGUGCCACCUUCCUGUGUUAUUAAACUUUACCCACAAGUAAAUUACAAAUUGUAAAUAUUUGUGGGGAUAGAAAAUUAUGCCAGAGCUCUACUAUAUAGUACGUGAAUUUUUCAUCUGUAACUUCUAGUGUUGUCAUUUCAUCACGCCCUUUCCCAUGCACUUUGACGAGAAAUCCAUGUUUGCAGGUGACAAAAAGGGGCCCAAGUCAUUAAAGGUAAAAUGUUCUUGAUUGGAGGACGGGGUUGGGGAGGGGAGAGCAGUUGACUGGCUGUGUUUUAAUCCCUUACAUCCAAACACUUCUUGCCCAGCCCUGCACCUCGUUGAAGUUGGUCUGACUGGGUUUUAUUAUAAAUGGCACAGAAAGCUCCUUCUCCAGACUUUGCAAUUCCUUUUGCCUUUCUAAGAAAGUUUGGCCGCCUCUUAGUGAAGCUUCUGUUGUUAACUGACCAGUGAAUAUGGCAACUUUGUAAAGGUUUUUUUAAAGGGUAUUAUUUUGAGAGAAAGUUUUCUUACUUUAAAAUCACAGUGCAUAUUGUUUUGAUUUUAAAAACCAUGACUGUUCACCACUUUGAAGGCAAUAAACAGUGUAUUUUCCUAAAGUUUAUUUUAUGGAAUAUUUUAUGGGAUGUUCAAGUUUCUGGAACUAUUAUGCUUUUGUCUUUAUAGACUCUAACAUAAAAGGCAAAAAUUACCUGUUACCCUGCGAUAUCAAAGGAGAAUGUAUUUUAGGAACAUUUUCAAACUUCAUGUUGGGAGCUCUUUGUUUUCAUUUGCUUACAGCAUAUCAGGGAAUACAUUAUAGCCUUAAAAUGUUCAUAAAAGUAUUUGAAAUCGAAUGGCAAAUAGUCUUCUGUUUGCAGCUCCAAGGUCUUAUAUAUGUAGUUCUGAAAUCCAGAAAACUCCAAAACUUGAAACAUUUUUCUUAUGUUUGGUGCCAAGUUAAUUUGUUGGCAAAACCUGACCUGUACUGACAAAAGGCUAUUUAUAGUGCUUUUUUAAAAAAAAUUCUGCUUUCUUUGAUUAUUGUGUUUUGCUACAGAACCAUUAAUGUAUAUGAUUGCUAGGUCUUGCUACACACUCUGGUGGGGUGUUUCAUAAGUAAUGCAUGUACUAUAUUUCUAAAAUUUGGAAUUCUCAAACACAUCUGGCCAUGAGAUAUUUUAGAUGCUCACUGAUAAAUGAGAACUGAGUGAUCCUCCAUUGGUAAGAGUCUCGUGGUGCUUCUUUGAAGUGAAGUAACUUAGUCACAACUGUAUUUUGGUUUUGAAAAGUGGUUUUGUUUUAUGAUUAUUUAGGGUAUAUUGCUAUUGAGGUAUUGACUAUAACAUUAAUUUAUUUUUGUAAUGUUUCCUAUUUUUUAAGUAUUUAUAUAAGUAACUCUGGUUCUCUUUGUGGAGGAGGAAGAUAGGAGUGAGAAAGGAACUAACUGUCAUCUAUGAAUUGCUGGAAAUUGUGUUUUCUAUUUUUCAAAGAAUUACAUUUCAAGAAUAUCUCCCAUAUAAUGGACUGUGUUGGAUGCGACAAAUGCAGAUUAUAGGGAAAAUUGCAGACUCAGCGUUUAGGAACUGCCCUGAAGAUACUAUUCUCUGAAAAAGAAAUCCAAAAGCUUCCAGAAAACAGCCCAUCUAAAGCUUCCAACUCACUCAACAGGAAAUAGUUGCUAUUUUAAAUGCUUUUGGAAGGUAAGAAUAGUUUUCACAGUGAGGACUUGCUGGGUUUUGCUGGUUUCAGCAAACUUCAAAGAUCAUCUUCUCUGCUAAAGUAGUUUUUUUGUUUUUUGUUUUUUUUUGUUUUUUUUUUGCUUUAUUUGGUCGACAAAGAGAGUUAUCUACUGUAUCCGCACUCACAAGCCAGGGUCUCAGCAGGUCACGGGAAAAAUUUAGUGUGAGAUAGGCAGUGUUUCUGAUAACCUUCUCAAUUUUGUGGGGAAUAUAACUUCAUAUUCAGCUGGCUAUAGCUUGGUCAAGUGUAAUAACGGUUCAGGAAAGGAAAACUUAGUUGAGAUUGUGAUGAAAGAAAUGAAAGAAGAGGAGAUGAAACCUCAUUGCUUUUUUUUUUUUUUUUUUGAAGAUUUUAUCUAUUUGAGAGACAGAGCAGAUGCACACAGGAGCAGGGGGUAGGGGCAGAUGAGGAGGGAGAGAGAGAAUCUCAAGCAGAUUCCAUCCAGCCCAUCUCAGGGCUCGAUUGCAUGACCCUGAGAUCAUCAUGACCUGAGCUGAAACCAGGGCUUGGAAGCUUAACACACUGAGCCACCCAGUGUGCACACACUGCUCUUUAUUUUUUAAGCUGAGGAGGCAUUUUCCCUCUGUUCAUUCUUAACCCCAUUUUCCCCUGCAUAGACCUAUAGUUUACUUUUGGUUUAUGCCACACAUGGUUUCAAACAAUAUGAAUUUGCCUGCAGAGAUAUAUAUGGUACCAACUAACUGAGGAAUAUAGAACAGAAGGAAAAGAAUCCGAGAAAAAUAAGAGAAAACUGUGCUGCCCUGGGAAAUAAAAAGUCAAGGAAGAAUUAUUUUUGUUUUUCUUUUUUUUUAAAGGCUGGGGAGCCAAGAGAUUCUUUCUUUCUUUCCUCUUUUUUUUUUGUUGUUGUUAAAGAUUUUAUUUAUUUAUAUGACAGGCAGAGAUCACAAGUAGGCAGAGAGGCAGGCAGAGAGAGAGGAGGAAAGAAGCUCCCUGCUGAGCAGAGAGCCCGUUGUGGGGCUCCAUCCCAGGACCCUAAGACCAUGACCUGAGCUGAAUGCAGAGGCUUUAACCCACUGAGCCACCCAGGCGCCCCAUUUCUUAUGUUUUCUUAACAAGCAUUUGUGAGCUAAAAGGGGCAGUGAAGUGAAAAAUAAAUUGUUCCUUCGCCAUUGUGUA